rnacentral:snRNA from 1 species
CAAGCUUCACGGCCUAAUGGCUAUGAUCCGAAAGUAGUAUCUGUUCUAUUCCGUUUGAUAAUGGAAUGCAGGCUUCGGCCUGUUUUUUUAUCAAAUUUAUUUUUGCCCCGGGUAUCUUGGCUGCGGCUUGUCCAACGCCUCGUUACGCGUGUUGCCUUUGCAUUGCACUAUCGCAAAGAGCGGCGCACUGGGA